rnacentral:rRNA from 1 species
GACGAACGCUGGCGGCGUGCUUAACACAUGCAAGUCGAGCGGUAAGGCCCUUUCGGGGGUACACGAGCGGCGAACGGGUGAGUAACACGUGGGUGACCUGCCCUCAGCUCUGGGAUAAGCCUGGGAAACUGGGUCUAAUACUGGAUAUGACUCCACGGUGCAUGUCGUGGGGUGGAAAGCCUUGUGCGGCUGAGGAUGGGCCCGCGGCCUAUCAGCUUGUUGGUGGGGGAUGGCCUACCAAGGCGACGACGGGUAGCCGGCCUGAGAGGGCGACCGGCCACACUGGGACUGAGACACGGCCCAGACUCCUACGGGAGGCAGCAGUGGGGAAUCUUGCGCAAUGGGCGAAGGCCUGACGCAGCGACGCCGCGUGAGGGAUGACGGCCUGGUGU